AGAAAGAUUAUGAAAUUGAGCUUUUGCGUUUCCUGGAGAGCCUGCCUGAAGAGGAACAACAGAGGGUUUUGGGAGAGGAAAAAAUGCUGGGAAUAAACAAGAAGGGUGCCACCAGCCCUGCCUCUAAGAAGUCAUCACCAGAUGCCCGCAAGGGAGGUUCUGAGAAACCCAAACGGCCCAUUUCUGCUAUGUUUAUCUUCUCGGAGGAGAAACGCAAGCAGCUGCAGGAAGAGCGACCUGAACUGUCGGAGAGUGAACUCGCCCGGUUGCUGGCACGGAUGUGGAAUGAACUUUCAG